AGAGUUUGAUCCUGGCUCAGAUUGAACGCUGGCGGCAGGCCUAACACAUGCAAGUCGAGCGGAUGAGUGGAGCUUGCUCCAUGAUUCAGCAGCGGACGGGUGAGUAAUGCCUAGGAAUCUGCCUGGUAGUGGGGGACAACGUUUCGAAAGGAACGCUAAUACCGCAUACGUCCUACGGGAGAAAGCAGGGGACCUUCGGGCCUUGCGCUAUCAGAUGAGCCUAGGUCGGAUUAGCUAGUUAGUGAGGUAAAGGCUCACCAAGGCGACGAUCCGUAACUGGUCUGAGAGGAUGAUCAGUCACACUGGAACUGAGACACGGUCCAGACUCCUACGGGAGGCAGCAGUGGGGAAUAUUGGACAAUGGGCGAAAGCCUGAUCCAGCCAUGCCGCGUGUGUGAAGAAGGUCUUCGGAUUGUAAAGCACUUUAAGUUGGGAGGAAGGGCAGUAAGUUAAUACCUUGCUGUUUUGACGUUACCGGCAGAAUAAGCACCGGCUAACUUCGUGCCAGCAGCCGCGGUAAUACGAAGGGUGCAAGCGUUAAUCGGAAUUACUGGGCGUAAAGCGCGCGUAGGUGGUUCGUUAAGUUGGAUGUGAAAGCCCCGGGCUCAACCUGGGAACUGCAUCCAAAACUGGCGAGCUAGAGUAUGGCAGAGGGUGGUGGAAUUUCCUGUGUAGCGGUGAAAUGCGUAGAUAUAGGAAGGAACACCAGUGGCGAAGGCGACCACCUGGGCUAAUACUGACACUGAGGUGCGAAAGCGUGGGGA
rnacentral:rRNA from 2 species